UGCGCUAGGCUCAUUCCUGCUAGUCCAGCUCUGCCUCCUGCUUCCAUUUGAGCUCCUUAAGCUACCCACCAAUUUCUGUAUUUAAGCAUGGGCUGUGGUGAGCAACUUUGUCACCAGAUCAGAAGUAUCAUCUCCAUCUGGCUUAGAGCACCUGGGCCCCUUUUCGCACCAACUGAGAUGCCCCAGGUCGUGGGAUUACUAACAGUACAGAGAUGAACACUAUUUCACAGGUGUCUCAGUGAUACCUGUCACAAGGAUGGACUUCUUACUGGGACCACCAAUUAAGUCCACAGAGACAAGCAAACUACAAACUUAAGAUUUUUGCAGAUGUCACCAUGGGACUCAUUUCAGCUAACAAGGAUGUGUCGUCUCAGCAGGAAGUUCACUUGGAGAUAUAGUCUCAAAAUACAACAGGCCAAAUUUACCAGCACACUCUGAACACUUCGAUCCUCUCCAGCCUCACAGAACAGCUGUAAACUCAGUUUAACCAGGCUGUAAAAUUGAGUUUACAGCUGCUUUACAUCACCACAAUGGCUCAAAGCAGGCAGCGCAUACCAGCAAACGUGGUCCUAAUUGUACACUAAUGAACGAUGAAGUACUUUAGAAUGCAGUUUUCACUUUGGCAGAAUGAAAAAGAAAUCUUUAUAUGGAACAGAUAAGUUAGAAUUCAGCCUGGCUUUGCUCAAGGGGAAAAAAAUGCAUCCUUUUUUAUUCUGAAUGGAUCAUAAUUAAGAAAAGCGUCAGUCACAAAUUAUUCAAUGUUAGAAAUUUAAAAGAGCUUUAAGAGUGGAUCCACUCUUUCUGAAUAUAGUAGUGCCUUCUCAGGCUGCAGUUAUAUCAUGAGUUGGAACUCAUUGUUUAAUUAUAAAAUAAUGGUCAAAAAAAAUCUGCUUAUGUAAGCAUGCAUUUCCAUUAGGGAAGAAAAGUCACUACAGAAAACAAGAUAAAAAGUUAAUGUUGCAAGUCUCAUUAUCUCUGUACAAGUUCAUUAACGCUGAGUAUGUAUAAAAUGGUUGUGCAAGGUGUUCAUCAUAGAAACCUGUAUAAAACAGUCAAAAUCAAAUCCAACCUAGAUGCACGCUUAAUCUAUAGUUAUCUUGAAAAAAAUGCUAACAUUAUUUUUCAGUCUUUUUAGGACACUGCCAUCAGGCCAUGAAUGUUAUUUACAUAAGGAAAGCAAUGUCUCUACUAGGAAUACAAUGGUCUUUUUUGCUUUCUGUAAUAGUCAGUUUGGAAAAAUAAAAAAAUACAUUCUGAUUUUUUUAUGAAACCAAAUUGAUCAAAAUAUCUGAUGCUGGUUCAAAUUAAUUUGUUGGAAUUAAAAAAAACAGGUACUCUA